rnacentral:rRNA from 1 species
GAUGAACGCUGGCGGCGUGCUUAACACAUGCAAGUCGAACGGUGAAGCCCAGCUUGCUGGGUGGAUCAGUGGCGAACGGGUGAGUAACACGUGAGCAACCUGCCCUGGACUCUGGGAUAAGCGCUGGAGACGGCGUCUAAUACUGGAUAUGAGACGUUGCCGCAUGGUCAACGUUUGGAAAGAUUUUUCGGUCUGGGAUGGGCUCGCGGCCUAUCAGCUUGUUGGUUAGGUAAUGGCUCACCCAGGCGUCGACGGGUAGCCGGCCUGAGAGGGUGACCGGCCACACUGGGACUGAGACACGGCCCAGACUCCUACGGGAGGCAGCAGUGGGGAAUAUUGCACAAUGGGCGGAAGCCUGAUGCAGCAACGCCGCGUGAGGGAUGACGGCCUUCGGGUUGUAAACCUCUUUUAGCAAGGAAGAAGCUUUUGUGACGGUACUUGCAGAAAAAGCGCCGGCUAACUACGUGCCAGCAGCCGCGGUAA